rnacentral:rRNA from 1 species
UGGGGAAUAUUGCACAAUGGGCGAAAGCCUGAUGCAGCAACGCCGCGUGAGUGAUGAAGGCCUUCGGGUUGUAAAGCUCUGUCUUUUGGGACGAUAAUGACGGUACCAAAGGAGGAAGCCACGGCUAACUACGUGCCAGCAGCCGCGGUAAUACGUAGGUGGCAAGCGUUGUCCGGAUUUACUGGGCGUAAAGGAUGCGUAGGCGGAUUUUUAAGUGAGAUGUGAAAAACCCUAAGCUUAACUUGGGGACUGCAUUUCAUACUGGAAAUCUAGAGUGCGGGAGAGGAGAAUGGAAUUCCUAGUGUAGCGGUGAAAUGCGUAGAGAUUAGGAAGAACACCAGUGGCGAAGGCGAUUCUCUGGACCGUAACUGACGCUGAGGCAUGAAAAGCGUGGGGUAGCAAAACAGGAUUAGAUACCCUGGUAGUCCACGCCGUAAAACGAUGAGUACUAGGUGUAGGAGGUAUCGACCCCUUCUGUGCCGCAGUUAAACACAAAUAAGUACUCCGCCUGGGGAAGUACGAUCGCAAGAUUAAAAACUUAAAAGGAAAUUGACGGGGGUCAUAGCUGUUUCCU